CAACGGCUCAGUGCGGAAUGCCGAUUGUGUAACAUGUGCGAUCAAUAGUGAUCAACGUGUAAUAAACGCAUUCAAUAUCGAGCAUUUAUAACCUCCAAGAAAUGUACACAACACAAGAACAUACCAGAUAAUUAAUUGAUUUAUGAUUGAUCGACUGGUAACUCGUGCAUUAAAUUUGAAAAUUUUCAAUAAGCCCAUUAUACAUAGGAUGUCGAUUUACGUGUUAACGGAACUUUGAAAGGAGGGAUUACGAAAUUAGCUUCUAUUACCGAAAAUAGCCAGCUAGGAUGACAACCAUUAACCUUGUACCAGCUGCGUCCUAUGGGGUUCCUCCAGUCCCUCCCAUGGAGUUCUACGGUGCAUCAUCAGUAUUGUAAUUAACCGUACAACUUGCAGCCACCCUCAUACACCUUGAAGGUAAUAUAUGUAUUUGUAUAUGAGUGCGUACAUUUAUAUAAACACACAGACGCAGUAGGCAACGUGCCACCAUAGGUAGAGCUUGAUGCCUAACCCCCAUGCAUUUCUAGAAGACCACCAUGGCACGUGUCCAGGUGGAUGGGUACGUUAUAAUAAAGUGCAAUUGAGGAACGUGUCCUCAGCUGUCUAAUAUUCCUGUCUGUUUUAAAGGUGCCGAACGUGGACGAUGACAACUCGUGCUACUAGACAUUCGACGAACACGCGACUGUUUAAUUAUGUCUGUGCUAAAUCAUCAGGAAUUCCAGGGAGGCCACCUUAAUGACUCAUUCCCAUAGGAUCGCCGAUGAUUCAUCCCAUAGCCUUCUAUGGAGAAACAAACAUUCUUACCGCGAAGAAUUCGAGCAGGACAAAUACCCGUCGCUAUAGUUCAUCUGGUUGAAUGAAUAGAAGAAGAAAAAAGAAAUUGACCACUCAUCUCUCCGGCAUUGAAGAAUUUCCAAAAAGUAAAAUUCACUUUCACUCGAAUCUUCACCAAUCUACGAAAACCGUUACACUGAUCAAUUUAUUGGAGCGUCAAUUUCCUCUUGCCAAUUGGAAGCAUCGAUAUCCGUUAAAACCCAAAUAGUUUUAGGAACCCUCAACCAAUCGUUUACCCAUACUCCCCCAUGGCUUCCCGAUGCAGAGGAACUUCCGGUCUAUACUCUUCAGAGCGGAACCCUUUCAUGGGGCCGUGACGUCAUCAUUGAGGAUCCAAUCCGCGGGGGUCCCCCAGGAUGUAGUUAGCCACGAAGACGAUUAGCGCGACGUUCCUCAAUUUUCCAUGUCUCAACCAGGAUAAUGACUGUGGCAACUUUGCAGGUGCGGCCAGGACGUGGGUUGGAAAUAUAUGGGAGGGUUUCUAUUGGCCCAUCGAAAUUCGAGGCCGGUGAUCGGCAGCUGACGUGGACGAGCAUCGAGACGCGGUUUCAUCGGCAAGAAAGGCGAGUGCAGUGCGCUGUAGAAUGAGGAAUGAAAAUUGAAACUCUACCCUUUAGGCGCAGAGUUCUCUGUUCGGCGUUCGGUCCGAGCACCUGGCAGCAUCUGCCCACACGAACCAACGAACAUACCAAAACCCACUAAUACCUAACGCCAUUGUUCUUUUGCAAAUGGACGUUCAGUACGUAUAGCUAUGGUCAAGAGUCUUCUUUAUGGGAUAGAGAAAGAAAAAAAAAACAGAUAUAAGAGAGCUGUAUAGAUAAUAUAGAUAGAGUCGGUUUCCUUUGAUGGGUCAUGGGUUACUAGGAACAAGAGAUGCUCCUUUGACCGUCAGAAUGAUCCUCUGGAUCUAGCAAAUUAUUAUCCUCUGAUUAUCUCACCCCUGCAUAGAAAACCACAAGAGGAGCAACGUGAAAAUAGUGGGUACGAAUAAUGGCCGGAAAACAAACAGAAUCCCUUGUGAAAUAUGAUAUCCACGUAGUAUACGUACUUGUUUGGUCAUCUGCUUGCCACGAGACACCCUCUAUAUCCUGAAGGACUUUUUCAAGUCUGCCAUCCCUUGGUCCUCUUUUACUACAAGACCUCAUAAGUGACACCGCGUACAGGGACAAUCCUUUCCUACACUCAUUCCUGUAUAAAAGAACGCCACAAUGGCCCUGGGCUCAACGGAUUUUUUCCAAAUUUUUGGAAACCAACUAGCUUCUUCACAAUUUCAAAAGGAAACUGUUCAGAGAGAGAAAGAGAGAAAAAAAUAAAAGGGGUUUUCUUCUAGUUCCUACAGCGUCAGCUGCUCUUAUGCAGAUGUCCUGGGAUAUUUCCAGAUUUCUGGUCACGCCAGGAACCCCUCCUGGAUGGAGCACGCGCUCCCCCGGGUCGUGGGAGGAAGCUGAAAAGGUACAGGGGGGUUUGAAUGCGCCACUUCCUGUCUAGUCUCGUUAGAAACAGGAGCGUAGAAAAAGCUUGGGGAGCUCAUAUGUGUUUGGCCUUGUCUAACACCAAGUGGAUUCAGAAACCCACAGGAUAUUCACAUAGACUAGACAAUAAAUAUUAUCCUUACUCCCUUUCCUUAGUAGCUUUGUAGGUUAUGUACGCCGGCCGUUAGACACAGUGAAAAUUUAAUAACGAGUCGCAAACUCGUGGGUUAAAAUGCACAGUUGGCUGGGAACUUCCGAGUAAUUGAGACUGACUCUUAUAUAUUAUAUACAUGAUAUAAUGUACUGCCAUAAAAAAAUGUCUGAGUCCCACAGGGAUUACUGGGAUGUUGAAUUGCAGUUUAACACCGGAUGCUGGUUCUCUCUCUUGGCCAACCGUUAAUUAAAACUUCGAAUGAUUCGUCGAUCAGCCGAUUUGAUUUUUGGUUUUUGUAUAUCUGCAGGAAGUUCGACCGUGAAUGAUGUUUUAGCUUUAUUUGUAAACCUUGGAAUAAUCUCCUGAGGGAAUAACAGCUGCCGUCGGGAAUCUUCUUCUCAAGUUCCUUUAGCAUCCUGUCUCAUUUCGCUAACAUCCAGGCCAGUAUCUGCCGGUUACUCGUAUCCUCUAUCGCCGUCGACGAUCAUCAGGUUCGGCCUCCAGAAGGCAGCUGGAUCGAGAAACACUCAGUCACGCCUUCCUCUUGUUUUCUCUCUCCACUUCUGGGGGGUUGCGGUUCUGCUCUCCAGGGUGUGAGAUCUCUCGAUCGCUGGGUUGUGGAUCCUUUUAGGAUCGCCAGAUGCGAUAAUGUAAUUAAACAGUAAUAGUUCUUUGUCUGAUGAACUUUGAUCCGAGUAGCGAGUAUGAAAUUUUUACUUAUUCUUUGGGAACUUCUGUACUCCGGAUUACGUGGGAUGAUCAUACUCCAUUGAAUCUUGGAUGAAAUUCCUUAAUGUAUUUCCUUGUUUGUCGGUUCAUCAGCAAGGGGAAUCUUCUGGAUCCAAUUUUUGGACCCUCAGGCCACUGUCCGUUUCAUCGGUGGAUCGUAGAAGUCUGCCAGUUUUCUUGGCGGGUGCUCGAGGCUGUAACGGCCGUAGGUCGAAAGUGGCAGGUGCAACUCGCCAGACUUCAUUAAACACAAUCCCAUCUGCGUCGCUGUAUUUUCAAGACGGCAGAACGGUCGGCAUUCCAAAGAAGAUGUGGAGGAGAAGAUGCGUGAAUGAUCUUCAGGAUGUGAAAUUCACUGAAAAAAUUAAAGAUCUGCUUCUAAACUUCGAGUAAAGUGGACCUGGACCUACAACCUGGACCACACGAAGGAUCCAUCAGAUCGAUUAGAUGGAUUUCCCUACAGGACUUCUGGUACGGUUUCUCGUCCGAGCUCCCUCGGGACGUAGGACUCGCGUGGGUUGAAAAUAGAAAAAAAAUGAAAUAGGAAACUCGAGGAAGUCGUAGGGGUAGCCUGGAAUACCAAGAAGAGAAAACAAAGGAGUGGCCAUCUCGAGCCAAAUACAAAUGGAUUCUGAGUAUUCGAGAAAGGACGCGCGUGCCAGGUCCAGCAGACCCUUUGGUAGCGCGUGCCGUUCUUGCGUCUCUUAAAAUUGUUAAGAGGAGCCUGACUGGACCCAUCGUAAAAAUUCAGCAGUUUAUUAGCAUCUACAAAAAGUUAUUCAAUACCGUCUAAUAGAUCCUAUCGAUUUCUCAUGUCUAGUUGGAAAUUCGCAAGAAAUUCGAAGAAACUGUAUAAGCGAUAUUGUAUGGAUUUUCUGAAGGAUACAAUGGAGGAGAAGUUUCGUCCUUGAGCAGUAUAAGAAUUUUUUAUUCCUAUUUUUCUACGAGGAUUAUACCAGGGAUACCACCCGUAAGUGAUCUCGUAAAAGUUUAAGGAAAGACCUGCGCAACCCUCAUUCCGCUCGUAAGCAGUUUAACAAUAGACAUAAAAUACACUUGCCACCCUGGCGAGAAACUAGGGUCCCUAGACUAAAAUUGUCCUGCCCACUUUCCCAUGAAGUUCGCCUGUUCACAGUACACAAGGUAGACACCUUAUGCCAAGGGAGUUGGCAUUGUAUACCGUAUAGUAAGAAAACCCGAAUCCACGUAUAACAUAAUAGAAUACUAUACCGGAGACCUUUAAACUUUAAAGGGACCAUACUAUGUCUAUGUCGGAUAAACUCGAACAGCUGACGCGGCUUGAAGGAGAAGCCAGGUAAUAUUCCUUGGUAGAAGGCAUACCUUAGAAAGGCCACGUAAAUCCUAAGGAAAAGAAGAAAAUCAAGAAAUUGGGGGAAGGUAAGAAAACGCGGGAAAGGAAAAAGCGCGGGAAAACGUAUAUACGUUCUACUAAAUUUGAAUUUUACAAGUAUAAAAACAAUUUCUUUUUGACAUUUUUUUUCUAUUCCCUUCAACUAUUGUUUUAUACUAAUCAACACGAUUUUAUGAUUCUUCCACGGGACAGUGACGUAGUGACAGCGCACUUAGGCAUACGUUCUAAUGAAGCACGCAACGCCAAUCGGAAGUAAGCACGCACGUAAAACACGUGCUUCCUGUGUUUAUAGUGUACAUACACUGUGUGGCAUAUGGGACUGAGGAUGGGUUACAGAAUUAAUGAACAAUUGUUUACAGCACAAGUACCGUGAUAUAUACCUAACAGUAUCAGCUCAUAUGACAGAUAAGGUAAAGCAAAGAAAAAUAAUAUAGCUAAUAAUUUUUUAAACAAAUUUUUCGAAUAACCAAAAAAUAUUUUUUUUUGAAAAUAUUCAAGAAUAUAUUCAAUAUCAUUCAUUUGAAAUAUUCAUUAAAUUCUUUUCUUCCUUAUCAAUACAGUUAACGUCAGCCUGACACGUAUCCACAGAAUGUGAAACUAAUCCCAAAAAUACUCGUGGGAACCGUUGCAAUCAUCCGAUAAGAUAAUUGCAAAAUAGAUUUUUUUUUCAAGUGCGGAAUCGAUGACGCGUGAACUAUGACCCAGGAAAUAGCAAUACGUAUCGUGAGAAAAUCCUGGUUAAACGGUCCCAUUUGAUGGGUUCAAUAAUUUUUAUGGGGCAAUAUAUAUAUGUAUAUACACACUGUAAAUAUAGUCAUAAUUAGUAUACACUCAUAAACCGUAUGUCCCUUGUUCAAUCUAAUUACACGUAUCUAUCCAAAUUGAAUAAUAUAUAGGAUUGAUAAAAUAAAAAUAAUAAAAAAGGACCAUAUCACGUAUAUCAGUCCCGGAAGCAAGCAUCUGUUAUCCGAUAUGUGAUAUCCAGGUGCUAAACUGAGGGUGGAUCCUUUACAUUUUAAAUUCCAUAAGGGUGAACCAGGAAGAGUUCACUAUCAUAUGGUCUAAUUAAUUGUCCUAUAAUAAAAUGAUAUAAAUAACAAAAGAAAUAUUGUACAACACGCGGCCAUUUUUUUUAUACAUAACCCUUUGGUAUCCACCCUAUUUACGUUUACCCCAAUGCCUGCCUGCAAACCCUUCCUCGUGUAAGAAUUCCAUAUUCCACAGUAAGAGCUAGUCCGUCUGUGCGCAUGCGCGAUGCUCGUACAUGAAAUUCACACGAUAGGUACAGAUGACGCGAUAAAUGUCAGAGUUUAGCGAAUAAUCGUUGGGCGUAUCCGUGACGAGAAGUAGACUUUAGGGUCCCUAUGGUAAAAUGCUUCGAUCGUGGUGAAUGCAAUUAAAGAAUAUUUUCCCAGCGCCAUGUGUUUGGAUACUGAGAGCAGUAGUUUUAAUAUCCAGGGGAAUGGAUACUUUAAGCUAGGCUAGAGAUAAUUUAUUAGUAACAGGAUAUAGAGUUACCCUGGACUUAUAAUGUGGUUCAUAAUUUAAUAAAAAUUUUACGAUAUAAAUAAUGACUAUUCUACACGUAUGGCAAAUUCACAGGACGAUUAACCUCUUUUUGAAUAAAUAGUACAAUACUGUCAUGUAUGCGUCUUAUGGCUUGUGAGAAUGAUAGGGCUGGUGAGCAACGUCUCGGGUAUAUGUAUGUUAUAUGGUAGUCGCUUAUCAUGCUCGUAGCCCUAAUCGAAUAUUUACAAUAGUUAUGUUACGACCGACGCAAAUCUCAGUGAGCUAUUUUUUCACAGCAAUAAACACUUUUCCUAUUCUGUUGAUUUUUUUUUGGUUAAAAACAAUUUCGAGCGCUGCCUAAUAUCAGUGUCCAUGAAUUAUUUACAAAUGUAAUUAAAAAAAAAAAAA